CCUACGGGUGGCUGCAGUGAGGAAUAUUGGUCAAUGGGCGCGAGCCUGAACCAGCCAAGUAGCGUGAAGGAUGACUGCCCUACGGGUUGUAAACUUCUUUUGUAAGGGAGUAAAGUGGUGCACGUGUGCCUUUUUGUAUAUUCUUUGUGAAUAAGGAUCGGCUAACUCCGUGCCCACAACCGCUGUAAAACCGAGGAUCCGGGCGUUAUCCGGAUUUAAUGGGGUUAAAGGGAGCGUAGAUGGGUUGUUAAGUCAGUUGUGAAAGUUUGCGGCUCAACCGUCAAAUUGCAAUUGAUACUGGUAGUCUUGAGUACAGUUGAGGUAGGCGGAAUUCGUGGUGUAGCGGUGAAAUGCAUAGAUAUCACGAAGAACUCCGAUUGCGAAGGCAGCUUACUAAACUGCAACUGACAUUGAUGCUCGAAAGUGUGGGUAUCAAACAGGAUUAGAUACCCGAGUAGUC
rnacentral:rRNA from 1 species